ACCAUUUUGAGUGUCUAAAUAAUAAUGAAUGUCAGGUUUGAGUUGUGGUGAUUUUUCUUGGAUGUUUGUAAGUUACCAAAACAUUGGUAUUUUAACUAUAGCUGCAUACAGGAAGUAGAAUUAAUGCAAUUCGAAAACAGGUGUAAUGCUGGCUCCGGUCAGUAUUUCUGUUGGAAAUUUGAAAGGGCGUACAGACAUUGAACUUUUACAAAAAAUCUAAUCCUUUGACCCCCAAUUUUCUCCAUUGCUGUUUAGUACUUGAUUUGCGAGGUGACCAGUUUCCAGACAUUGGUUCGCUCCUGCUUGUGUACGAGAUUGGCCGAGACUAAAAAAACUGUAGUGUGCCACCUUGAGAAGAUUAUUGAUAACACAGUCACUAAUGAACUAUGAGUGAAGACCUGUAUGAGUAUGAUUCUGAAGGAACUGAUGGCAGUGAUGCAGUUAUGGAGCGGUACCCGUUAUAGAGAUUUCAGAUUCGGACGAAACUUUGCCGCCAUCUGACAAAGGAAACAGCCACCUCUGGAGGAAUGUGGUCAGGAAGUUGAAUGGUCCCAGUCGCCAUGAGGAUAUUUUGAUUAUUAUUUUUUUAUUCCAUCCUAUGGUGAUCGGAGACUAAGAAAACAGUGUAGACAAAUGAGCGUGCAAUCCAGGAGGGGGGAGUUCUAAAUAACUCGUAUACAGCACUGUUGCAGCCAACCGUGUUUCCUUCUCUGUGUGAAAUGUUUAAUAUAUGUAAAAUAUGUUAAUGCAAUCUUUAAUUUUGUCAUAUGAACAAAUAUAUAGUACUUUUUAAUGUGGGGUUAGAUUUUAUUUCAAAAAUGUAUAUCCAUUUAUUACCUCCCCUGAAUUUUGCAAUUUUUAUUCUAUAUAAAAGCAUUUACUCUUUUACAUAUAGGGUACAAAGUGUAUAUUUUCUGAUUAGUAUUCACUGAUUAUUUAUGAAAAUGUAUAAUCUGCCAUUGAUUAUGGUGACAUUUAUAAUAUGUGGUGGUUGCUAUUGGUAGUCAUUUCAGGUCGAACCUCAAAGACCUCGUGAAGAGGCCGGUAGGACCUGUAAAUAAACUCUGAUUUAAAAAAAAAUGGUAGUCAUUUACCCCCAGUCUUAGUCGCAAAAAUUGCUUCCAUAGGAGUCUUAAAACUUCCAGAAAUACCAACGUUUACCUGGCCCAACAUAAACUGUUAAAGGCGGACAUUUACCCAGACAAACAUGUACCUGUUAAGGGCUGACAUUUACCCGGCCUUAAAUAGUUGUUACAAACAUUUGAAUUUUAAACUGCAUUUUGAUAUCUUUGCAGAUGGAAUACGGAAGGAAUUGUACAUGAUGAGAUCCGAGUUAGAAGUCACCGUUACAGAUUUCUUAAAACACGCACCUUAUCAGCAUGACAGAUUACAGUAUAAGAAAAAAAUGUCCGACCAGACUACAGGCCAGAAUGAGACGCUCCCCAAGGCUGUUGUGCAAAAUUAAGACAGCAACUAGCUAUAAAGUGAUAUUAUAGACUAGACAUAUUCAUUUAUAGUUGGAUCAAAUGUCACGAUUAUGUGUUCUUCUGUCUCGCAAAUACCGUAACGUUCUAGCAGUGCAUACUUAAAACAUUUUGGAGAAAUCCUUGUCAUAAAAAUAUGUGUACAUAUGUUUGGAACAAUUAAAUAAGCAAGCACACAUUGUUUCCGUGAAAGCCACACAACUGUGGCUAUAUAUUAUGUUACCUUAUGGUUGAAAUAGGUUUUUCCUGGCUUGUUUUGGUAAUUUUCAACCUUUGUAUCACUUUAAAUACACAUGACGUAAAGUUUGUAGGGGUCUGGAAUCGCCGGUUGGUCUCAGAAAAUGUUUUCUAUGAAACUGUAUGGGCAUGUAACGAAAUGAUAUUGUCUUUAAUAUUAAGAGGUAUUUUCUUUGUAUGUUUAACUAUUUUUAAUUUUGUAACCUGGAAAAUUUGCAAAUUUUAUAUACAAACAUGUACUUUCAUAAUUGUAAAUGUUUACUUGUGUACGUGUGUCGAGAACAAAUUUUCUGUGUAUUAAAAGAAAGCAAUAGGAAUGUUCUUAAACUUUGCAGAAGUAAUGCAAAAGCGACUUGAUUUUUUUUAUUUUUGUGAUUAAAAAGAGACCAAAACUGAAAAAUUGCGUUAUAAAAAAUGUAUUGACUUUGUCUGUAAGGCCUACAAAACUUUGUAUGUUUCCACUGACCCGACCGACCCUAAUUUUUUGCGGACACUUAACAUUUUUUGGCCAUUUUUAGUAAAAUUUUGUAUUGAAUUUGUUAAACUGGAUUAUUUUAUAAAAUUAUGAUUUUGCCAUCACAGAAUUACAUAGAAAUGAUGUUGCAUAGACAAUUGGAAGACUUUUGUCAUUGAAAUAACGUUUGAAAUAACGUUGGGCAACCGGGGAGAGUGUGGGAGGAUUGCCACCGCCUAGAUGUAUAUUUGUUGACUUUGGAACUUUUCAAUGUGAAUUUUAAUGCUUAAAAAGCGUAUUUUGUGACAUAAAUGUAUGGGAUUGUACACGCAAAUCAGCUUUGAAUUCAUUCCUCCUCUACAGUGUUAAAGUAAAUUCCCAAUAAA